CCUACGGGUGGCAGCAGUCGGGAAUAUUUCACAAUGGGGGCAACCCUGAUGGUGCGAUGCCGCGUGGGGGACUGAAGGUCUUCGGAUUGUAAACCCUUUUCAUGUGGGAGCAACUUAUAAAGAUAGUACCUCUAGUCGUUGAGACUGCUCACACUGUGCCAGCAGCCGCGGUACUACAGAGGUGGCACUCGUGGUUCGGAAUCACUGGGCGUAAAGCGUGCGUCGGCUGUUUCGUAAGUCGGAUGUGAAAUGUCCGGGCUUAACCCGGGAACUGCACAUGAUACUGGGAGACUAGAGUAAGGGUGAGGGAACUGGAAUGCGAGGUGUAGCAGUGAAAUGCGUAGAGAUCGGGAGGAACACGCGUGGCGAAGGCGGGUUCCUGGACAAUAACUGACGCUGAGGCACGAAGGCCAGGGGAGCGAAAGGGAUUAGAUACCCUAGUAGUC
rnacentral:rRNA from 1 species